GAACUCCUGGACUUCUGUCAUUGUCUUGGAGAUGAUCUCUGCCGGUGGGUUCUCUCCAUAAAAAGACAGCCUAAAUUGCAGCUGUCUCUGGAACUCCAUUUGUUCCUGUCUUUCUACUGAAUCACUAUGUUUGGGAACCGAACCGCCAUCUGUUCGGUAUUCCGCCAUUAGUUCGGUAAUAAGUACAGCUUUCGUUUUAUUGCUGGCUUGAAUGCCCCUUGCUUCCAGGAGGUCUUUUAGCACGGAGC